GCUACACAGCGAUGUGAUGCUAAUCUCCAAACCAUGUCUCAGUUCGGAUCGGAGUCUGCAACUCGACUCCGUGAAGCUGGAUUCGCUAGUAAUCGCGCAUCAGCCAUGGCGCGGUGAAUACGUUCCCGGGCCUUGUACACACCGCCCGUCAAGCCAUGGGAGCCGGGGGUACCUGAAGUCCGUAACCGCGAGGAUCGGCCUAGGGUAAAACUGGUGACUGGGGCUAAGUCGUAACAAGGUACC
rnacentral:rRNA from 1 species